CCGAGGCUGUUCCCACUCUGGUGAUUCAGUGUCAGGCUGGGAGCGAGGGAACCAGAGCCUGUUACCCGGAUCCCUCGACUUUUCCCAUCUCCACAUGGCUCUGCAGCAAAUCAAAGUGCAACAAAACAGCUUUGCAUCAUUUCUUCGAGGAGUCCUGGGCCCUGUAUGUUAUCUCCAGGGCAGGGAUUUUACCGUUCUGAAGGUUAAAAAGAGGGAAGCAGCUGUUCCCAUGCCUCAGGAGCACAAACACUUGAGAGGAAUCAGUGGGACAGCAGCGAGGGAGCGCUUGGGCUGCUGCCAAAGCUCCGGCAGCGAGCCCGGCUCGGAGCCUGUGAUCUGGGGAACCUCUGGAGCCUUUCGCAAGGCCAGUGUCACAGACAGCCUUCUCGCUUGCUGGGCUGUAAGACUUCGAGCCUCGGACAACAGCUAA
rnacentral:lncRNA from 1 species